GGAAUAUGGCUCAGUGGUAGAGCACUUCCCUGGUAUGUGGUAGGCCCUGGGUUCAAUCACCAGUACCA
rnacentral:tRNA from 1 species